GCCGAACGCUGGCGGCGUGCUUAACACAUGCAAGUCGAACGAAGUGGCGAACGGGUGAGUACAGCGUAAUCAACCUGCCCUUCAGAGGGGGACAACAGGUGGCAACGACUGCUAAUACCGCAUCCUGAAGCCGGGGCGUUCGUCGGAUUAGCGAGGUGGGGGGGUAACGGCCCACCAAGGAGAUGAUCAGUAGCCGGUCUGAGAGGAGUAACGGCCACAUUGGUACUGAGACACGGCCCAGACUCCUACGGGAGGCAGCAGUGGGGAAUCUUCCGCAAUGGACGAAAGUCUGACGGAGCAACGCCGCGGGAGUGAUGACGGCCUUCGGGUUGUAAAGCUCUGUUAAUCGGGACGCGGUACCGGAAUAGAAAGCCACGGCUAACUACGUGCCAGCAGCCGCGGUAAUUC
rnacentral:rRNA from 1 species